AGCGGCGAACGGGUGAGUAACACGUAGGUGAUCUGCCCAUCAGACGGGGACAACGAUUGGAAACGAUCGCUAAUACCGGAUAGGACGAAAGUUUAAAGGUGCUUCUGGCACCGCUGAUGGAUGAGCCUGCGGCGCAUUAGCUAGUUGGUAGGGUAAAGGCCUACCAAGGCGACGAUGCGUAGCCGACCUGAGAGGGUGAACGGCCACACUGGGACUGAGACACGGCCCAGACUCCUACGGGAGGCAGCAGUAGGGAAUCUUCGGCAAUGGGCGAAAGCCUGACCGAGCAACGCCGCGUGAAUGAUGAAGGCCUUCGGGUUGUAAAAUUCUGUUAUAAGGGAAGAACGACUUUAGUAGGAAAUGGCUAGAGUGUGACGGUACCUUAUGAGAAAGCCACGGCUAACUACGUGCCAGCAGCCGCGGUAAUACGUAGGUGGCGAGCGUUAUCCGGAAUUAUUGGGCGUAAAGAGCGCGCAGGUGGUUGAUUAAGUCUGAUGUGAAAGCCCACGGCUUAACCGUGGAGGGUCAUUGGAAACUAGUCGACUUGAGUGCAGAAGAGGGAAGUGGAAUUCCAUGUGUAGCGGUGAAAUGCGUAGAGAUAUGGAGGAACACCAGUGGCGAAGGCGGCUUCCUGGUCUGUAACUGACACUGAGGCGCGAAAGCGUGGGGAGCAAACAGGAUUAGAUACCCUGGUAGUCCACGCCGUAAACGAUGAGUGCUAAGUGU
rnacentral:rRNA from 1 species